rnacentral:tRNA from 2 species
GUCUUGGUGGCUCAGUUGGUCAGAGCGUUGGUCUCAUAAUAUGAAGCACUCUCAGAGUGAGCUAUCCAAAGGUCGUGAGUUCGAGCCUCACCCAGGACA